rnacentral:snRNA from 1 species
AUCGCUUCUCGGCUGAAAAGCUAAGAUCAAAGUUAGUAUCUGUUCUUAUCAGCUUAACCUCUGGUAUUUGACCUACGUGGUCAUAUGAAGGUUAAUUUAUUUUUUGGGCACUGAUCGUUGCAUGAAGCUUGCUUCAACAUGAUCACGGGUCAGACUAGCGUUGCACUAUCGCUGGAAUUGGCCCAUUCCCG